rnacentral:rRNA from 1 species
GAUGAACGCUGGCGGCGUGCCUAAUACAUGCAAGUCGGACGCACCACUUCGGUGGUGAGUGGCGAACGGGUGAGUAAUACAUAAGUAACCUGCCCUUGCGAGGGGGAUAACUAUUAGAAAUGAUAGCUAAGACCGCAUAGGUAUGAUGAUCGCAUGAUCGUGAUAUUAAAAAUCCGGAUGGAUUGCGCAAGGAUGGACUUAUGACGCAUUAGCUAGUUGGUGAGGUAACGGCUCACCAAGGCGACGAUGCGUAGCCGGCCUGAGAGGGUGGACGGCCACACUGGGACUGAGACACGGCCCAGACUCCUACGGGAGGCAGCAGUAGGGAAUUUUCGGCAAUGGGGGAAACCCUGACCGAGCAACGCCGCGUGAGGGAAGAAGUAUUUCGGUAUGUAAACCUCUGUUAUAAAGGAAGAAAGAUAACUGUAGGAAAUGACAGUUAAGUGACGGUACUUUAUCAGAAAGCCACGGCUAACUACGUG